rnacentral:rRNA from 1 species
UACUAGAGUAGCACUCGCAUAUCAAUAAGCGGAGGAAAAGAAACUAACAAGGAUUCCCCUUAGUAACGGCGAGUGAAGCGGGAAGAGCUCAAAUUUGAAAUCUUAAAGGGUUUCCCUUUACGAAUUGUAGUUUAAAGAAGUGUUUUCUGUUGAGGUUUUGGUAAAAGUUCUUUGGAAUAGGACAUCAUAGAGGGUGAGAAUCCCGUAUUUGACCUUUACUUUCAACUUUGUGAUACACUUUCAAAGAGUCGGAUUGUUUGGGAAUGCAGUCCAAAAUGGGUGGUAAAUUUCAUCUAAAGCUAAAUAUUGGCGAGAGACCGAUAGCGAACAAGUACCGUGAGGGAAAGAUGAAAAGAACUUUGAAAAGAGAGUUAAACAGUACGUGAAAUUGUCAAAAGGGAAGCGUUUGACACCAGUGUUGUUUUUCUGAAAAUCAAUUAAAGAACUGUUUAUGCUAAGUUGUUUAGACUUUAUCAGCUAUCUGUUUAGUUUUGAGCUUUUCUUUAAUGCACUUUUCAGUUAACAAGUCAACAUCAAUUUCUUUUGCUGUAAAAAAGCUUGAGGAAGGUGGCUUGAGAUUCGUCUUAAGUGUUUAUAGCCUCUUGCCUAUGCAGUCGGAGAGAUUGAGGUCUACAGGCGUAGAUCCUUCGGGGCUAAAUGCAUUUGUGCUAAGUUAUAGCAUUUUAUAGACAACUUGUUGACUAUGAUUUGUCUUGUAGCUUACUCGCUUAUGUUAUUUUACCUACGCUUAGGAUGUUGAGCGCAUGUCUCUCUCU